rnacentral:rRNA from 1 species
CAAUAGCGUAUAUUGAAGUUGUUGCGGUUAAAAAGCUCGUCGUUGGAUUUCUGUUGAGGUCGAACAGUACCGCCCUAUGGGUGCGCAACUGGCUCGGCUUCGGCAUCUUCUUGGAGAGCGCAUCUGCACUUAACUGUGUGGAUCGUACUUCAAGUCAGUUACUUUGAGGAAUUGUGAGUGUUUCAAGCAGGCUUACGCCGUUGAAUCCGUUAGCAUGGAAUAAUAGGAUAGGACCUCGGUUCUAUUUUGUUGGUUUUGAGAGCUGGGGCAGCGAUUGAUAGGGACGGAUGGGGGCGUCCGAACUUUACUGUCAGAGGUGAAAUUCUUAGAUCGGUCAAAGGCGAACUACUGCGAACGCAUUCGCCAAGAAUGUUUUCUUUAA